AUACGAAGGGGGCUAGCGUUGUUCGGAAUUACUGGGCGUAAAGCGCGCGUAGGCGGACUGAUCAGUGGGGGGUGAAAUCCCAGGGCUUAACCCUGGAACUGCCUCCAAUACUGUCAGUGUUGAGUUCGGGAGAGGUGAGUGGAAUUCCUAGUGUAGAGGUGAAAUUCGUAGAUAUUAGGAAGAACACCAGUGGCGAAGGCGGCUCACUGGCCCGAUACUGACGCUGAGGCGCGAAAGCGUGGGGAGCAAACAGGAUUAGAAACCCUAGUAGUCC
rnacentral:rRNA from 1 species